GGGUUGUGAGGUUAAGCGAAUAAGCGUACACGGUGGAUGCCUAGGCAAUCAGAGGCGAUGAAGGACGUGCUAAUCUGCGAUAAGCGUCGGUAAGGUGAUAUGAACCGUUAUACCCGACGAUUUCCGAAUGGGGAAACCCAAUAUCCAAUGGAUAUUAUCAUGACGUGAAUACAUAGCGUCAUGAAGCGAACCGGGAGAACUGAAACAUCUCAGUACCCCGAGGAAAAGAAAUCAACCGAGAUUCCCCUAGUAGCGGCGAGCGAACGGGGAACAGCCCAGAGUCUUAAUCAAUAGCAGCAUCAGGAGAACGGUCUGGAAAGUCCGGCAGUAAAGGGUGAUAGCCCCGUAUCCGAAGAUGCUGUUAUUGUGAACUCGACGAGUAGGGCGGGACACGUGUUAUCCUGUCUGAAUAUGGGGGGACCAUCCUCCAAGGCUAAAUACUCCUGAUUGACCGAUAGUGAACCAGUACCGUGAGGGAAAGGCGAAAAGAACCCCGGCGAGGGGAGUGAAAAAGAACCUGAAACCGUGUACGUACAAGCAGUAGGAGCCUCUUUAUGGGGUGACUGCGUACCUUUUGUAUAAUGGGUCAGCGACUUAUAUUCUGUAGCAAGGUUAACCGUAUAGGGGAGCCGUAGGGAAACCGAGUCUUAACUGGGCGAAUGAGUUGCAGGGUAUAGACCCGAAACCCGGUGAUCUAUCCAUGGGCAGGUUGAAGGUUGGGUAACACUAACUGGAGGACCGAACCGACUAAUGUUGAAAAAUUAGCGGAUGACUUGUGGAUGGGGGUGAAAGGCCAAUCAAACCGGGAGAUAGCUGGUUCUCCCCGAAAGCUAUUUAGGUAGCGCCUCGUGAACUCAUCUUCGGGGGUAGAGCACUGUUUCGACUAGGGGGUCAUCCCGACUUACCAACUCGAUGCAAACUGCGAAUACCGAAGAAUGUUAUCACGGGAGACACACGGCGGGUGCUAACGUCCGUCGUGAAGAGGGAAACAACCCAGACCGCCAGCUAAGGUCCCAAAGUCAUGGUUAAGUGGGAAACGAAGUGGGAAGGCUCAGACAGCCAGGAUGUUGGCUUAGAAGCAGCCAUCAUUUAAAGAAAGCGUAAUAGCUCACUGGUCGAGUCGGCCCGCGCGGAAGAUGUAACGGGGCUAAACCAUGCACCGAAGCUGCGGCAGCGACACUAUGUGUUGUUGGGUAGGGGAGCGUUCUGUAAGCCUGCGAAGGUGUACUGUGAGGUAUGCUGGAGGUAUCAGAAGUGCGAAUGCUGACAUAAGUAACGAUAAUGCGGGUGAAAAACCCGCACGCCGGAAGACCAAGGGUUCCUGUCCAACGUUAAUCGGGGCAGGGUGAGUCGACCCCUAAGGCGAGGCUGAAAAGCGUAGUCGAUGGGAAACGGGUUAAUAUUCCCGUACUGGUGGUAACUGCGAUGGGGGAACGGAGAAGGCUAGGUUGUCCGGGCGACGGUCGUCCCGGUUCAAGCAUGUAGGCAGAGUGAUUAGGCAAAUCCGGUCACUUAAUGCUGAGGUGUGAUGACGAACCACUAAGGUGGUGAAGCAAUUGAUGCCCUGCUUCCAGGAAAAGCCUCUAAGCUUCAGGUUACCAACAAUCGUACCCCAAACCGACACAGGUGGUCAGGUAGAGAAUACUCAGGCGCUUGAGAGAACUCGGGUGAAGGAACUAGGCAAAAUGGUGCCGUAACUUCGGGAGAAGGCACGCUGGCGGUAAGUGAAGUCCCUCGCGGACGGAGCCGAAGCCAGUCGAAGAUACCAGCUGGCUGCAACUGUUUAUUAAAAACACAGCACUGUGCAAACACGAAAGUGGACGUAUACGGUGUGACGCCUGCCCGGUGCUGGAAGGUUAAUUGAUGGGGUUAUCCUUAGGGAGAAGCUCUUGAUCGAAGCCCCAGUAAACGGCGGCCGUAACUAUAACGGUCCUAAGGUAGCGAAAUUCCUUGUCGGGUAAGUUCCGACCUGCACGAAUGGCGUAAUGAUGGCCAGGCUGUCUCCACCCGAGACUCAGUGAAAUUGAACUCGCUGUGAAGAUGCAGUGUACCCGCGGCAAGACGGAAAGACCCCGUGAACCUUUACUAUAGCUUGACACUGAACAUUGAGCCUUGAUGUGUAGGAUAGGUGGGAGACUAUGAAGUGUGGACGCCAGUCUGCAUGGAGUCAACCUUGAAAUACCACCCUUUAACGUUUGAUGUUCUAACCUAGGCCCGUAAUCCGGGUCGGGGACCGUGUCUGGUGGGUAGUUUGACUGGGGCGGUCUCCUCCUAAAGAGUAACGGAGGAGCACGAAGGUUGGCUAAGCAUGGUCGGACAUCAUGCGGUUAGUGCAAAGGCAUAAGCCAGCUUGACUGUGAGAGUGACGGCUCGAGCAGGUACGAAAGUAGGUCUUAGUGAUCCGGUGGUUCUGAAUGGAAGGGCCAUCGCUCAACGGAUAAAAGGUACUCCGGGGAUAACAGGCUGAUACCGCCCAAGAGUUCAUAUCGACGGCGGUGUUUGGCACCUCGAUGUCGGCUCAUCACAUCCUGGGGCUGAAGUAGGUCCCAAGGGUAUGGCUGUUCGCCAUUUAAAGUGGUACGCGAGCUGGGUUUAGAACGUCGUGAGACAGUUCGGUCCCUAUCUGCCGUGGGCGUUGGAAGAUUGAGAGGGGUUGCUCCUAGUACGAGAGGACCGGAGUGAACGCACCACUGGUGUUCGGGUUGUCAUGCCAAUGGCAUUGCCCGGUAGCUAAGUGCGGAAGAGAUAACCGCUGAAAGCAUCUAAGCGGGAAACUUGCCUCGAGAUGAGUCUUCCCUGUCACCUUGAGUGACCUAAAGGAACGUUUAAGACUAAGACGUUGAUAGGCUGGGUGUGUAAGCGUAGCGAUACGUUGAGCUAACCAGUACUAAUGAACCGUGAGGCUUAACCUGACAACACCGAAGGUGUUU
rnacentral:rRNA from 1 species